UACGUAGGGGGCAAGCGUUGUCCGGAAUCAUUGGGCGUAAAGAGCGUGUAGGCGGCCACGCAGGUCCGUUGUGAAAACUGGAGGCUCAACCUCCAGCUGUCGACGGAAACCGUGUGGCUAGAGUCCGGAAGAGGAGAGUGGAAUUCCUGGUGUAGCGGUGAAAUGCGCAGAUAUCAGGAAGAACACCAAUGGCGAAGGCAGCUCUCUGGGACGGUACUGACGCUGAGACGCGAAAGCGUGGGGAGCGAACAGG
rnacentral:rRNA from 1 species